rnacentral:tRNA from 1 species
GUAAAUGAGAGAAGCAAGAAAUCUUGUUUAUGUUUGUUAUUUCAUUGAUUGAUGGCUGGACGCUGGUGAACGCCAAAAUGGUCUGUUUUUCCUGUUUUGAUAACUCAAAUUUUACUCUUUACCUCGUAUUGCAACCCGAACGAGUUUUGAACCAGCUUUACUCGUCGGACAAGUCGACAGGGGAUGCCCGGUAACGCCGACAGCAACAUUUUCAAGAAAAUUAAAGUAUAAUCAAUUGACAAACAGAUCAGCAUCAGAUUUAGUUCUGUCGAGUACCAGCUGUUCAUUUUGGCUCUUUCCCAAUUUCAAAAUAAAAUUUUGUUUCAGUGCACCGUUGAAUUGCUGCAUUGCUUUCGAUGUGGAACUUUAAAAGUUUGAGGGACCAUCAACAAUGAAGGUGAUCGUUUUUUUUUGUUUCAAUUCCCACGCGUGUCAAUCGGCCCCACUCUCCCCUACCUUUGGCUCAACGUGAUCUUUGAGGACAAGGAACAACACGUUCUGAAUCUCCUUCGAUUUUACAUGCAAAUCGAAAAGUAAUGCCUUAAGCUAUUCACCAAAGUCCAAAGUCAAACAUUUACAAUUUUGUAGCAUUCAAUAACAUUCCUCUGUGAAAAUUCAUUUUAAUUCCAUCUACUUUUCUUUCUGCUUCUAAUUUUGAUGUUUUUCAGGGGGUUUAGUUCUUUUUGGUGUUUUGUUUUGUGGACAUAGUUCUUUUUGCUAUGCCAAUGGAGAAUUGAAGGGUCCUACUUACGAAUACAUAAAGAAAAUGCUGAAUGUAGUGUCCAUCUUCCUUAUCAGUAACCGAGAGCUCGGUGUAGUGAAAUCUAAGAAUGUAAUAUUUAGAAAAUGAAAACCUUUGUGUUCUAUGUGCUAGCUGGGCCCUACUAGAUUUCUUAUUUUUCUUUGUUAAUUUUUCACCGUAUGUAAAAAUGAUGUUUCCACCCAGGAUCGAACUGAGGACCUUCAGCGUGUUAGGCCGACGUGAUAACCACUACACUAUGGAAACUUAAAUGACUGAUCCAAAUAAACAAAAAAUUUGUAGAUGAGCAAUCGAAAACUAGAAAAUUAAGUGUUUCUCCUCCAAAAAAUCAAGCAUGAAAAGGUUCAUCGGUAAAUGUUCAAGGUUAAAACAAAAAUUUUUGGACUGCUGCGCACACGUUCUGUUGCUUACCCCACCUGCAUCUGUGGUCGUUUGGUCAUUUUCAUUUGAUAAAACCAUCGCUUUUUUUCCCCUCCAAAAACGACAUUUGUGUUUGACUUUCGCAGGUCAUGGAAGUCGGCAGAGGGCACUGGCAGUCACACUUGCUUAAAAACUUUAGUGCGUCCUUUGAGCUAUUGCAUUAGUGACGAUCUGGGAACAAUCAAACGUCUGAACUACAGUCGAGGUGAUCUCCAACCGAAUUGCACGUGUGUGUGUGUUGCGCUGUGUUAAAACACGUUCCGGCGAAAGUUGGUGAUAAACCAUAGGUGUCUUAUUUUCCCAAUUCGUUCGUUUCAAGAACUUACCGAGGAUAUCAUGGGAGUUCUUAACCUAUUAGCAGCCAUCUUUACGCUGUUAUGUUUCAGCCGUGCGAGCAGCAUCUAUCAAACACAGCGGGAUACCAUCGGAAUUAAAGAAGAUAUCGCCGAUGUCCAGUUUCCGUUCAGACCGAGCCCUUACUAUGCCCAGCAGGAUAACAACUUCGAUGAAGCUGAAAGACAAAUCAACACAACUAUGAUGGACGAUAGAUCUUGUUACACAGCAGAAGGCAGAUUUGGUUCUUGCAUGUCGUUUCGUUCGUGCUACCCAACGUCAGAAUUAAGCUAUCUGCAAACGUGGUCUGUGAUUAUGCAAAUCGCUUGCAGCUACACCGUAAAAGACGGAAAACAGAUGCAUGGAAUUUGUUGCCCAAAACAUGUAGCCAUUAUUCACUCUGGCCUUAGUAACGAUAUUCAAAUCAUGCCGUUGGUGAUUAUGCCAUACCCAGCGAUACUAUACCCGUUGAUGGUCGCCAAUGUCACGCUGCCACUUCCAGCUGAAACUACCAUUUCACCCUCAUCGCCACUAACGGAAAAGCAAGUGGCCAUCGAAUCGAAGCAAAUCAAUUGUGGCGUGGGACCAGAAAAAAUAUUGAGUCUCGAAGAAGAUCGUAUCGUAGGCGGUACCGAUGCUGUUAAGAAUUCUUGGCCCUACGUGGUGGCAUUAAAGUACUCGGGGCGGUUUUUUUGUGGCGGAUCAUUGAUUUCUUCAAAUAGAGUCCUGACUGCGGCCCAUUGCGUGGACUUUUUUUGGCCAUGGGACUAUUUGCGUUUGACUGUAGAGCUGGGCGUUCACGUCUUGUUCCCGACAAGUGACGCCCUGUUGUCCAGAAGGGUAUUCAAGGUGUUACGCCACAGAGAUUACAAUCCCAACACCGGGGAGAAAGACAUUGCCAUCUUGAAUUUAAAAGUUCCCGUGAAUUACGUGACGGCCAUUUCACCCGUCUGCUUGCCAGCGCCAGGGACUACUGACACUUAUGUUGAUCAAGAGGCUGCCAUCAUCGGCUGGGGAUCGUUGAAUAAUCAAAGUAAAAUCUUCUGGUCAAUUAUAAAUUUGGACCAUUGCCCGAUGUCUUACAGCAGGCCACCGUUAAAAUUAUCAGCAACGCUGACUGUCAAGCUAGCUACAACAACUUGGGAGUAACCAUCAAAGAUAACAUGAUUUGCGCUGCUGCACCCGGCAUAAGUUCCUGCUUCGGUGAUAGUGGCGGUCCGUUGCUUCUACAAUCAUCACCUACAGGACCUUGGACUGAGGUCGGCAUUGUUAGCUUUGGAACCGGUAUG